CCUACGGGAGGCAGCAGUAGGGAAUCUUCCACAAUGGGCGAAAGCCUGAUGGAGCAACGCCGCGUGGGUGAAGAAGGUCUUCGGAUCGUAAAACCCUGUUGUUAGAGAAGAAAGUGCGUGAGAGUAACUGUUCACGUUUCGACGGUAUCUAACCAGAAAGCCACGGCUAACUACGUGCCAGCAGCCGCGGUAAUACGUAGGUGGCAAGCGUUAUCCGGAUUUAUUGGGCGUAAAGGGAACGAAGGCGGUCUUUUAAGUCUGAUGUGAAAGCCUUCGGCUUAACCGGAGUAGUGCAUUGGAAACUGGGAGACUUGAGUGCAGAAGAGGAGAGUGGAACUCCAUGUGUAGCGGUGAAAUGCGUAGAUAUAUGGAAGAACACCAGUGGCGAAAGCGGCUCUCUGAUCUGUAACUGACGCUGAGGUUCGAAAGCGUGGGUAGCAAACAGGAUUAGAUACCCUAGUAGUC
rnacentral:rRNA from 1 species